rnacentral:rRNA from 1 species
GGAUGCGAUCAUACCAGCACUAAAGCAACGGAUCCCAUCAGAACUCCGAAGUUAAGCGU